rnacentral:rRNA from 1 species
UGACCGGCGGAGGAAGGCGCGGAUGACGUCAAGUCAGCAUGGCCCUUACGUCCAGGGCGANACACACGCUACAAUGGCCACGACAAUGCGUUGCCAAGCGCAAGGCGGAGCUAAUCGCUUAAACGUGGUCUCAGUGCAGAGUGGCGGCUGCAACUCGSCNCCGUGAAGGCGGAGUUGCUAGUAA